rnacentral:rRNA from 1 species
UACGGGGGGAGCAAGCGUUGUUCGGAUUUACUGGGCGUAAAGGGCGCGUAGGCGGUCAGCACAAGUCAGUUGUGAAAUCUCCGGGCUUAACCCGGAAAGGUCAACUGAUACUGUGCGACUAGAGUGCGGAAGGGGCAACUGGAAUUCUCGGUGUAGCGGUGAAAUGCGUAGAUAUCGGGAGGAACACCUGUGGCGAAAGCGGCUCACUGGACCACAACUGACGCUGAGGCGCGAAAGCUAGGGGAGCAAACAGGG